rnacentral:rRNA from 1 species
CAGCAUAAUGGAUAGCAAUAUCUAUGGUGGCGACCGGCGCACGGGUGCGUAACGCGUAUGCAACCUACCUUUAACAGGGGGAUAACACUGAGAAAUUGGUACUAAUACCCCAUAAUAUCAUAGAAGGCAUCUUUUAUGGUUGAAAAUUCCGAUGGUUAGAGAUGGGCAUGCGUUGUAUUAGCUAGUUGGUGGGGUAACGGCUCACCAAGGCGACGAUACAUAGGGGGACUGAGAGGUUAACCCCCCACACUGGUACUGAGACACGGACCAGACUCCUACGGGAGGCAGCAGUGAGGAAUAUUGGUCAAUGGACGCAAGUCUGAACCAGCCAUGCCGCGUGCAGGAUGACGGCUCUAUGAGUUGUAAACUGCUUUUGUACGAGGGUAAACGCAGAUACGUGUAUCUGUCUGAAAGUAUCGUACGAAUAAGGAUCGGCUAACUCCGUGCCAGCAGCCGCGGUAAUACGGAGGAUUCAAGCGUUAUCCGGAUUUAUUGGGUUUAAAGGGUGCGUAGGCGGUUUGAUAAGUUAGAGGUGAAAUUUCGGGGCUCAACCCUGAACGUGCCUCUAAUACUGUUGAGCUAGAGAGUAGUUGCGGUAGGCGGAAUGUAUGGUGUAGCGGUGAAAUGCUUAGAGAUCAUACAGAACACCGAUUGCGAAGGCAGCUUACCAAACUAUAUCUGACGUUGAGGCACGAAAGCG